UAACUCCCUCUCUCAAUCCCAGAUCAAUGAUUUUUUAACAGUGUUUACAGAUGAUCUUAAGUUAGAAGGUUUUAUAAGCUGUAAUAAGAAAUAACAUAAUCCAAAAAUCUUGGAAACAGGGAAUUGAACGUAACUGAGUAGAGAGGAAAAAUACAAACUGAUAUGUCCUUGGAAAAAAAGUGAGAAGUUCAAUACAAGGAAAAACUUGAAAGACAAUAAUAGCUAAGGGAGCAAAUGGGGAGCAGAUUAGAUGUCUUUGUUCAGUGACUGGGUGAAGAAAAGGACAAUAUAACUAUGGCAUAUCUGUGGGGAUUGUUUUGAACAGUAGCAGGGGAGUGGCCUUCUUAAUAUAAUUUUCAUGAGACGACUCAUGGAAUGUUGUAGGUAGGCUUGAGUAUAUCAUUAUCAGUAUGUUACAAACAGAUGGACACAAUUUCAGAAAAUAUAUGUUAAUUACUUCUUUCUUAGGAAGAAGAGAACAGAGGAAUGAAAUCAGUAAAGUGGCUGAGAGAAAAACAGGUAGAUGCCUCAAAUAGUUGCCUUUCCUUCUUCAUGACUGAUUACUAUACCCGGGAAAAUACAUUGUAGAAUAAAAAAAAGACAAUUCCCUGGCAGGAUCCCAGUGUGCACAAGACUGAUCAUCAGGCAAGUUUGAAAAAAUAAUACUCUUGAAAUGUCUCGCAUGAAACUUACACAAGUAGCAACAUUUUUUGACUUGCUAUGUGUAGAGUCAACCCUAUGAUGACACUGUUGAGACAGAUGUGUGCACUUGGGCAGAGAUCCAUAAUUUUUUUUUGGAUUUCUGGCUUGAAAUAACAAACAGGUUAUCUCUAGGGAGGAAUACAGGGCACUUUCUUACAUUUGUGCUUUUCCUAUUGCCAGUCAUCAAGAACUAUGCAGUAUAUUUAGAUCAACUGCCACUGUUUUGCAGAGUUACUAAUUUUUCAGUGCUCUGCACAUUUUAUGCCCUAUUUUGAGAUCCUGUUAUUCCUGUUUGAAGUCAAUAGGUGCUCUUAGUGCACAAAAAAUGCAGUCUUGAAUGUUAUGCAACUAAAUUAAGCUUCCACCUGCCCAGUCCUCCUGGAAACAGCAACACUUGGUGAUAGGAAGAGGCCUCGUUAUUAAGAGGUAGUUAAUUUUACUUUGAUGCUUUUCAGUGCAUUUGCUCGUAUAUUAUGAUCAUGCAAAUGGCUAAGUCACUUAAAAAAAAAUACUAACAGUCUUGAUACGAUAUUGUAGCUCAUAAAAUAGUAAAAGAAAAGUUAUUUAUCAAGGCGAUGUUUCCUUUGUGAAAUUUUAGGACUAUGCACAGAAAGUUUUUAUAUACAGAACAAAUGUCAACAUGCAAGCAUAGGUAUACACAUAAGAUAUUACUUUCUAUAUUGGUGCACUAAGGGCAAAUUCUGCUGGCUGAUGUAGUGCAGGAACUCAGAAUGCUCUUGGGUUCUGUUUGCAAAAACUCAAGCACAAUAUUGUUGACUUUUGUAUUUGCUUUAGACUAAGAAAAAAGAAAAUCUGCAUUGUAAUGUUGUUGUUGGGUUAUGCUAGUGCAAUCAAAUACAUCUGAAAGCGUAUUCCAUGUUAUCUGCCUGAGUAUUUACCAUGUGCUGUGCAUAAACAGAUAUUUUAAGUCAGUGUGGCCUCGUUCUAAAAUAAUUCAGGUUGACAGAUGCUGUCAUGCUUUCAAUGUGGACAAAGUUCAUUGAGAUUUUGAAGUUUUAGGUUACCAAAUACUGAAACAACUACUAGUAUUUUUUUUUUUAAGUGAAUUUUAAAAAUACACCAACCUGGUUUUGCAAUCAUAUAUUUCAGCGCAAGAUUUUCUCCCAACCAAACAGUUGAAAUACAAGACCAAUAAGAAAAAUCUCUCAAAAAGAAUUAUAAAAGAAAAUCAUUGUUCCUAGAAAUGUAAAUGUCAACUGGAGUCAAUUCUUCCACUUGAAUUUCUGCCAAACUCAUUCAAAUGUUUGGCAUUUCCUUUCUCUCUUCUGUAUGUUUUCUGAUUUGGUCAAUUGUGGAGUUUCCUGUUUUGUUUUUGUUUGGCUGAAGCAACUAAAUCAACCCACAAUCAAGGUCAUUGUAGAAAACCAAACUUUCAGUAA